rnacentral:rRNA from 1 species
GACGAACGCUGGCGGCGUGCUUAACACAUGCAAGUCGAACGGAAAGGCCCUGCUUUCGUGGGGUGCUCGAGUGGCGAACGGGUGAGUAACACGUGAGUAACCUGCCCUUGACUUUGGGAUAACUUCAGGAAACUGGGGCUAAUACCGGAUAGGAGCUCCUACUGCAUGGUGGGGGUUGGAAAGUUUCGGCGGUUGGGGAUGGACUCGCGGCUUAUCAGCUUGUUGGUGGGGUAGUGGCUUACCAAGGCUUUGACGGGUAGCCGGCCUGAGAGGGUGACCGGCCACAUUGGGACUGAGAUACGGCCCAGACUCCUACGGGAGGCAGCAGUGGGGAAUAUUGCACAAUGGGCGGAAGCCUGAUGCAGCAACGCCGCGUGCGGGAUGACGGCCUUCGGGUUGUAAACCGCUUUCGCCUGUGACGAAGCGUGGGUGACGGUAAUGGGUAAAGAAGCACCGGCUAACUACGUGCCAGCCGCCGCCGUAA